AAAGCCAAAUCAAAGAAUAAGAAGAAGAAGAAGAAGAAGCAAAAGCACCGUCGUUCUCACGGCUGAUAUUCAGCCGGUGGUGGCAGGAGUUGUUUAUCUAGGAUCUUGCCACUGUAAUUGCCAUCUCCGUGGAGUCUAGCGACCAUAGAAAGAGCAAAGCGUCCCUUCUGCCCAGCUCCAGCUCUAUUCCUCCUGCAGUCAUUAAGUUCUGCUGGAGAUGUUGCGGCCGCGUGGCAACUAUGGUGGUGGUUUUCAACCAUAACCAACGGUGCACACCAUGGUUUCUCCCAUUUUUUCAUCGUCAGACACCAGAACAUCCGAUGAGAGAUCCCCUAUUCGUCAUAGAGGUAUUAUGAGUGAAAGCCGUGAAACAGGAAAAACGACGCUGGGUAUCUUAUAGAAAGUUCCAGGUCGUUUCGGAUCAUCGGAUAUCAAGGCACGUAGUGACUGAAAGGUGCGCCUAAGGAUGACGAAGAACGACAGGAAAAAAUAUACAUAGAUCCGGUAAUGACCUCGGCAUUUGCCAUUUUUUAAACUAAUUCGAAAUAGAUUGUAACAAAAAUUUCUCACUUACUCUCGAAAAAAUCUAAUUUUUUUACGUAUACAUAAUUUAAAAGUCGGCAAAUUACUCUACACCGUCAUAAUAGAACGACGCCAUCAUACAGCCUGCUUAUUACGAACGAUUAGAAUUAUUUUAAUUAGUCGAAUAAAUUUGAGGAAAAAAAAAGGAAAUGGAAGGAAAAAUGAAUAAAAAUGAAAUGUAUGGGGAUACAAUUUUUGAUUGUUCAAAAACUGCAUUGCUUUGCGAAGAUAUCAAAUUUGACAAGAUGGGUUUUCUAUAAAUCCGCUUUUCAUUAUGUGUAGAGACGUAGGUAAUUAUUUUAUUCAUUGAAUUAUUAAAGAUUUAAAUUAAUUAGCUAGAUUAUAAAUAUAUUGUAUCCACUAGUAUCGAGUUGGGUAACGUUGGAAACACAUAAAUAAACUAAUUGAAGUAUAUAUACAUAUGUAGCGCGAUGCUAUCGAUAUAACAUGGACGCAGAAUAAUAAUAGGCACAUGGAGAGAUAAAAUAAAAUGAUAUAAUUUUCUGACUUUUUUCCAAAUUCAUGUAUUAUAUAAAUGCAUACGUA
rnacentral:lncRNA from 1 species